rnacentral:rRNA from 1 species
UACGUAGGGUCCAAGCGUUAAUCGGAAUUACUGGGCGUAAAGCGUGCGCAGGCGGUUUUGUAAGUCUGUCGUGAAAGCCCCGGGCUCAACCUGGGAAUUGCGAUGGAGACUGCAAGGCUUGAAUCUGGCAGAGGGGGGUAGAAUUCCACGUGUAGCAGUGAAAUGCGUAGAGAUGAUGGAGGAACACCGAUGGCGAAGGCAGCCCCCUGGGUCAAGAUUGACGCUCAUGCACGAAAGCGUGGGGAGCAAACAGG